rnacentral:rRNA from 1 species
UUAGGGGGUCUGAGAGGAUGGUCCCCCACACUGGUACUGAGACACGGACCAGACUCCUACGGGAGGCAGCAGUGAGGAAUAUUGGUCAAUGGGCGAAAGCCUGAACCAGCCAUGCCGCGUGAAGGAUGACGGCCCUAGUGGUUGUAAACUUCUUUUAUACGGGAAGAAACCCCUCUACGUGUAGAGGGUUGACGGUACCGUACGAAUAAGCAUCGGCUAACUCCGUGCCAGCAGCCGCGGUAAUACGGAGGAUGCAAGCGUUAUCCGGAUUUAUUGGGUUUAAAGGGUGCGUAGGCGGAAAAUUAAGUCAGUGGUGAGAUCCUGCAGCUUAACUGUAGAACUGUCAUUGAUACUGAUUUUCUUGAAUACAGUUGAGGUAGGCGGAAUGUGUAAUGUAGCGGUGAAAUGCUUAGAUAUUACACAGAACACCGAUUGCGAAGGCAGCUUACUAAACUGUGAUUGACGCUGAGGCACGAAAGCGUGGGGAGCAAACAGGAUUAGAUACCCUGGUAGUCCACGCUGUAAACGAUGAUCACUCGUGUUGGGCAAUACAUCGUCAGCGACUGAGCGAAAGCAUUAAGUGAUCCACCUGGGAAGUACGUUCGCAAGAAUGAAACUCAAAGGAAUUGACGGGGGCCCGCACAAGCGGAGGAACAUGUGGUUAAUUCGAUGAAUACGCGAGGAACCUUACCUGGGCUUAAAUGCAUCACGACGGACCGGGAAACUGGUCUUUCUUCGGACGGAAUGCAAGGUGCUGCAUGGCUGUCGUCAGCUCGUGACCGUGAGGUGUCGGGUUAAGUCCCAUAACGAGCGCAACCCUCAUCAUUAGU